CUGUAAUGGCUGGCCCACUGCCUGGUCUCACCUGUUUGUGAUGCUCCACAAUAUAUACACUGUAGAAAAUAUGAUUUGCAAUUGUUGGACUAAUUAUAGUUUUCAAGUUAUUCAGACUCAGAAAUAAGGUUUCACUAUGUUUAACUACCAAAACAGUGUCUGGCCAGCAAACUUCUCUCUAUUGUUGCAUCAAAGGGUAUUUUCAAAUAACUACAACAAGGAUUUUGGAGUUGCAAUUAGGCAAACGUCUUUUUGUUGGAAACCCCGUAGAUUCCGUUUCAGGGGCACGAGUGAGCUGUCAGUUUGGACAGACGAAAUCUCAAUAUCGACCUUGUUGCCAUGCAGAGCUGGAUAAGGAUCAAGUUUUGACGAUUUAUUGAGUAUUUAUUUGGCUAAAAAGAUAUUUGAAGAAUUGCAUAGCACAACCAGAAAAGACCUCCUGAAGACUUUCAAUGAGUCCCUUGAGAAUUAUGUGCCUCGCCUGCUCGGACUGUACCGGGCUAGAAAGGGAGCUUUUGGUCAGCAAAUAGACGACUUCCUGGAUAAGCUUGAUGAACAGACAUCAGACAUUGAGUCUCACCGAAAGAUGACAGCACUGAGAUGCUUCCCCCUUUUUGUCCGGGACGACACAAAUAAGUUUUUCCUGCAGCAUUUGGAAACUGACCCUGAAGAAAGAGUACUCAGAGGCGUGUCUGUUGGCAUCCUUACAAUCCUUGAAGAAGAUGAUCCCGCUGUAUCACCCAACGUACACGACUGGGCUGUUGUGUUGGAAGGUUCCAUCAUGCUACAUGACCUGCCAGACCUCGGUACCGCCUUUGCAUACCUCUUUGGCCUACUGUGUGCCAUGAACAUUGAUUAUCCAAAGGAGAUGAAGUACACCUUUGAAGCAAUUCAGUCGAUCUUUUUCGAGCUUGGCUCUCAGCGCUCUCAGCGGACAAUGUCUCUGAAAACAAAGCUUUUGCUGUGACUCUUAAUGUGGAAGUCAACCUAUGUUUUCUGCCUGUUCUAGUGCAUUGUGGUUGGUGCUCCAUAUAAAACUUCCCGGCCAGUGAUUUAAAACAUGCAAGACCUCACGGAAAACAAUGAUAUAUUUUUUAAAUGUAUUUACAAUAAGUGAGAUACACAAUUUUUUGUAUUUUUUAUUAUUAUUUUUUUAAAAAUGUAUUUAAAAUUGAGUGAGAUUCACAAAAUGCCAUCAUGCUACAUAACCCCCCAGACCUCGGU